rnacentral:rRNA from 1 species
GUAGUCUCGCACAGAUGCAUAUCAAUAAGCGGAGGAAAAGAAACUAACAAGGAUUCCCUCAGUAACGGCGAGUGAAGCGGGAAGAGCUCAAAUUUGAAAUCUUGAAAGGUCACCUUUCACGAAUUGUAGUUUAAAGAAGUGUUUUCUGUUACGAUCGUAAUAUAAGUUCUUUGGAAUAGGACAUCACAGAGGGUGAGAAUCCCGUCUAUGAUUGCGAUUUGUAGCUUUGUGAUACACUUUCAAAGAGUCGGGUUGUUUGGGAAUGCAGUCCAAAAUGGGUAGGUAAAUUUCUAUCUAAGGCUAAAUAUUGGCGAGAGACCGAUAGCGAACAAGUACCGUGAGGGAAAGAUGAAAAGAACUUUGAAAAGAGAGUUAAAUAGUACGUGAAAUUGUCAAAAGGGAAGCGUUUAGCACCAGUGUUGUUUUCUGAAAAUCAACCUCUGUUAGCUUUAUGCAUGUUUGUUUAGACCUAAUCAGCUAUCUUGCAUGUUCUAUUGUUUGCAGUGGUGCACUUUUCAGUUUACAGGUCAACAUCAGUUUUUUUUACCGUAAAAAAGUUAAAGAAAGGUAGCUCAUGGCUCCGGUCGUGAGUGUUAUAGUCUUUUUCCUAUGCGGUAGGAGAGACUGAGGUCUGCAGUGUAGGCUAUUUGGCUAGAUACUCAGGUGCUAUGUGAUACCAUUUCAUAAACAACUUGUUGAUUAUGUUUUGUCCUAUUGCAUACUCGCUUGUACUAUCAUACCUACGCUUAGGAUGUUGAAGAUGUAGCACAUCAU